UACAGAGGUCCCAAGCGUUGUUCGGAUUUACUGGGCGUAAAGGGUGCGUAGGUGGUGAGGUAAGUCUGAUGUGAAAUCUCCGAGCUCAACUCGGAAAUGGCAUUGGAAACUACCUUGCUAGAGGGUUGGAGGGGGGGACUGGAAUACUUGGUGUAGCAGUGAAAUGCGUAGAUAUCAAGUGGAACACCGGUGGCGAAGGCGGCGCUCUGGACCGAGACUGACGCUGAGGCGCGAAAGCGUGGGGGAGCAAACAGG
rnacentral:rRNA from 1 species